rnacentral:rRNA from 1 species
GACGAACGCUGGCGGCGUGCCUAACACAUGCAAGUCGAGCGACGAACCGGGGCUUGCCUCGGGGCAGAGCCGCGAACGGGUGUGUAACACAUGGGUGUACUGCCCCGAUGACUAGGACAACCCGUCGAGAGACGGGCCAUUACCGGAGGUGCCCCAUGCGGGAAAAGAAGCUUCGGCCUCCUGAUCGGGAUGUGCCCGGGGCGCAUGGGCUUGUUGGGGGGGUAAUGGCUUAGCUAGGCGACGAGGGGUAGCUGGUCUGAGAGGACGAUCAGCCACACUGGGACUGAGACGCGGCCCAGACUACUGCGAGAGGGAGCAGUCGGGAAUCUUGCACAGUGGGCGAAAGCGUGAUGCAGCAACGCCGCGUGCGGGAAGAAGGCCUUAGGGUUGUGAACCGGUUUCAGUGGGGAGGAGGCUGCGAUCGUGAAUAGCGGUAGGGAGUGACGGUACCUUCAGAAGAAGCGCCGGCUAACUACGUG